rnacentral:lncRNA from 1 species
CUCUCUAUCUCUCUCUCUCAUUUCUUUGGUUUUUCUCUUAGAGCAAUAUAUGAGUUUUGCCUGUCCAAUUUUUAGGCUCUCUCUGCGGUUUGUUCAAGUUUCAUCUUUCGUCAUUGUUCACUAAUUACUAAGCAGCAGUAGAUAGCUUUGUCUAACCAAUUUCAGGCUUCUCCUAAAGAGUUGUUUGUCUAACCAAUUUCAGGCUUCUCCUAAAGAGUUGUUGCUCUCUCUCUCUCUCUCUCUCUCUCUCUCUCUCGAUCUCUCUCGACAUGAUUCUUGAUUUUAUGGAAACAGUUGAUAGUGGCUCUCGACAUGAUUCUUGAUUUUAUGGAAACAGUUGAUAGUGGCUGGAGUAGCAGGUGGGAUAUGGGCC